rnacentral:rRNA from 1 species
AUGGGCAGGCAGCCCUCGGUGAAGCCGAACAUCUCCGACUCGCUCUUGGUGAACGGCGCGCAUGGCCCCCGCCGGUCUGCCGUGCCGUACACCACCUUGUCCUGCAGCGAGCCGCCCAGCCGGAGCACCAGCGGCGAGAAGGCUGCAACCAAAAUGGGAAUUGCGCCGCGUUGGCAAGGAUCGGUCAGUGAGCCGCCGCGCCAAGAACCUCUAGCGGGAUGGGAUGGAUGGUGGCCUACCUUUGACGGCAUUGAGAAGGAUUUUGUUGGAGAGAUCCUGCGCGGGGUUGAGAAAGAAAAAAAAUGGUGUUAG